UGAGGCUAUAGUUCAUUGGUAGAAUGCUUGCCAAACAUGUGCAAGGCUCUGGGUUCGAUACCCAGCACCACAA
rnacentral:tRNA from 1 species